CCGGUUUUGAACGGGUUGUAGCUGGCCUCAUACUGUGGCAUGUGCACGCCUGUCUUCAUCCACUCUUCAACCUCUGUGCACUUAUUGUAGGCUGGUGAAGGGUCGCAUAGUAAUGUGCGGCUUGAAGCCUGGUCUACGUUUUACUACAAACGCUUCAGUUAUAGAAUGUCUAUCUGCGUAUAACGCAUUUAAUAUACAACUUUCAGCAACGGAUCUCUUGGCUCUCGCAUCGAUGAAGAACGCAGCGAAAUGCGAUAAGUAAUGUGAAUUGCAGAAUUCAGUGAAUCAUCGAAUCUUUGAACGCACCUUGCGCUCCCUGGUAUUCCGGGGAGCAUGCCUGUUUGAGUGUCAUGGAAUUCUCAACUUCUAAUACUUUUUUGUAUCAGAAGCUUGGAUUUGGAGGCUCGUGCUGGCUCUCUCGUUAGAGUCGGCUCCUCUUAAAUGAAUUAGCGUGAAUCACUAUGGAUCGCUUCGGUGUGAUAAUUAUCUGCGCCGUAGUCGUGAAGUAUUAAUAAAAGUUCUCGCUUCUAAUCGUCCUUCACGGGACAAUUAACCCUGACUUUUUGACCUCAAAUCAGGUAGGAC
rnacentral:rRNA from 1 species